rnacentral:SRP_RNA from 1 species
UAACAGAGCCGGGAUCGUUCCCGCUCUCGAUCGCGGGGAGGAUGUCGGAGGGAG